rnacentral:misc_RNA from 1 species
GAUGAAGAACGUAGCGAAAUGCGAUAAGUAAUGUGAAUUGCAGAAUUCCGUGAAUCAUCGAAUCUUUGAACGCGCAUUGCGACCCCUGGUAUUCCGGGGGGCAUGCCUGUCCGAGCGUCAUUGCAACCUUCAAGCGCGGCUUGUGUGUUGGGUCUCGUCCCCCGUGGACGGGCCCGAAAGGCAGUGGCGGCGUCCCGACAUGGUGCCCGAGCGUAUGGGAAUCCUCUUCCGCUCGAAUCGGCCCAUGCGGCGCUGGUCGUAACCAAAUUUUUUACCGGUUGACCUCGGAUCAGGUAGGGAUACCCGCUGAACUUAAGCAUAUCAAUAAGCGGAGGA